UACGGAGGGAGCUAGCGUUGUUCGGAAUUACUGGGCGUAAAGGGCGCGUAGGCGGCCUGUUAAGUCGAACGUGAAAUCCCUGGGCUCAACCCAGGAACUGCGUCCGAUACUGGAAGGCUUGAAUCCGGGAGAGGGAUGCGGAAUUCCAGGUGUAGCGGUGAAAUGCGUAGAUAUCUGGAGGAAUACCGGUGGCGAAGGCGGCAUCCUGGACCGACAUGACGCUGAUGAGCGAAAGCUAGGGGAGCAAACGGG
rnacentral:rRNA from 1 species